CUUCAGCGAGCCGAGGAACAGCGGCUCGGCGCGGUCCUGCCCGUAGGUGGCCAGCAGCGCCUGCGCCUC
rnacentral:antisense_RNA from 1 species